GAACUGCUCACUUGGGAGCUCACCAAUGCCGUCGACCGCGGGCAUCGUUGGUGGACUAGACCCGUUCGUCUGAGUUCGUCUCUUUUGUUUUAUUCUGCAUUCAAAUAGUGUUCAGAUCAAUUUUUCCAUGUUUGAACUUUCUGAAUUUCUUCAGCGUUUUUGUUAACAUAGGUGGAUGAUUUACCACAUGCCUCACAGUGGAUGGGGAGUUUGAGGAUUUCAAUCAGGUGCACUUAAGGGAAUCGGAUUUGGAGUUUGGGAAUGAUGAGGAUGAGAUUAACGACAAUGAGGUCAUCAAGAUGAAGCCCCCACCGUCAGGGUUGUGGCCACCACCGCAUCGUCCCAGCAGUGCUAGCCUACAGGCGAACAUGCCGCUGGUGAUCAAGGACGUGCUGUUGCUGCCGAGGUCCGCAUUUAAGAUCUUCCCCACCGCUCUUUGCAACACCAACUACUACACCUGGAGCUUCAAGCAUCAUAGGUAAACCUGCAUAUUCUUGAUGUCAAAUUGCUGUCGGUUGUUGGUAGGAUCCUGAGAGAGACAACUUCGUCAUCGUCAAUUACAGUGAGAGGAGAUCAUGAUAAGAAAGAACCAUGGACAUCAGAGUGAAGAAAAUAGCACAACAUUGGUAAUUUUGGGAUUGCGCAGAGAAAGAGCACGAAUACAGAAAUGGGUUGGAGCUGUGAUCUCCUCCAGUGCAAGU